UUUCCGUAGGUGAACCUGCGGAAGGAUCAUUAAAGAACGCCCCGUUUUUUGAAAUGGGUAAUUCUAAACCGUGUAUACAUACCUUUGUUGCUUUGGCAGGCCGCCCCUCAGGGCGUCGGCUCCGGCUGACUGCGCCUGCCAGAGGACCCAAACUCUUUUGUUUAGUGAUGUCUGAGUGCUAUAUAAUAGUUAAAACUUUCAACAACGGAUCUCUUGGUUCUG
rnacentral:misc_RNA from 1 species